AGCGAACACGUUCGUACCGGUUGGCUGUGAACUACCACUGAACGUCACCGUAUAUGAUUUCUUCUCAUUUGCUUGGCUAAAACUCAAAGUCUGUGGUUCAACUGAUAUCUUAACUCCUGGAGUUUCAGGUGAUACCGAUACCUUGUAAGUUCCUGGCGAGCCCACAUUGGUGAGAGUUCGAGUGUGUUUAACAACAUUCGACCCACCCAUGACCGAAUCAAAAUUGACAGCAAAGGAAGGGUAGUUGAGAUCAGUGACUCUGUAUCUCUUGCUAGCAUCACAUGAGAAGUUUCUUCUCGCCAGGGAUCUGAUUUGGAACUCUGUGUAGUUCAAGGCACAAAGGAAACCCAGAUAAUCUUCCGCUGUCAAAUCAUACACAAGCCCUGGAUUAAGC
rnacentral:lncRNA from 1 species